rnacentral:rRNA from 1 species
UACAGAGGUCCCAAGCGUUGUUCGGAUUCAUUGGGCGUAAAGGGUGCGUAGGCGGCAGGGUAAGUUGGAUGUGAAAUCCUGGGGCUUAACCUCAGAAUUGCAUUCAAUACUGCCUUGCUAGAGAGCUGUAGAGGAGACUGGAAUUCCUGGUGUAGCGGUGAAAUGCGCAGAUAUCAGGAGGAACACCGAUGGCGAAGGCAGGUCUCUGGGCUGUAACUGACGCUGAGGAGCGAAAGCAUGGGGAGCGAACAGG